rnacentral:tRNA from 1 species
GCCCAGGUAGCUCAGUUGGUAGAGCUUGCGACUGAAAAUCGCAGUGUCGGUGGUUCAAGUCCGCCCCUCGGCACCA